rnacentral:misc_RNA from 1 species
GCUCAUGAAACCCAUCAACCACUGCAUUUAAAUAAAAUUAAUAAUAAAAAUCAGCAUGCAAUGGACCAUCAAAUAUAAUUUAUUUCAUUAAUAAUUGUGAUGACUGGGAACUUGCAAUUUAAAAUUAGAUAUUUAAUAAAUAGGCUUAAUUAUGGCCAAUAACUUAAUAGAUAAGUCAUAGUCUUGGCCAGUGGAAGGAAAAGACAAUGGACCACUCUAUGCUUGGUGCUCCAAAAAGCAUCGAAGAAUGUGAGGUUCUUGAAAUGGUCCAUACUUUGUCAUCACUUUAUUGAAAAUAAAAAGGGAAAUUUACUAUUUAUUUUCUGAGUUUGAAUUGAAAUUAUAAUUUAAUUUUUAUAUUUUAAAAAUUCAACAAUCUUAUCCCCACGUUUACUCUUGUUAAAAUCGAGGGACCUCGGGGUCCCCUCCUAAUUAAAGAUCGAGAUGCUGUCAGUUUACUUUGAAAAGACAAUUCUAUCCUCAUUUUGACUUAGGGCUAAUAGUUGAGGUAGUUGACACU